GUUUAUUCCAAUCUUCUCAGUCUCUCUAUUCCCCACGCUUUUUACAAGCGUCGGCUCACCUUUCCUUUUACUUUCUCUAUCGACAGCUCUAUCCCAGGAAGCCACAAAGCCAGCUAGCACCACCAUGGUUUUGCCUCCCUCUCGAACAGCUCCACAGCGAGGAUUUCUGGUGCUUGGUGAACAGUGUGUCCCCUUGUUGGCGACGUUGGAUCUGGAAGUGAGGGGUCAGAGGAGGAGCAUGCUGCCCAUCUCCACCGGAUCUGGCUGGACUCCCCUCUCCGGUGACCUCUCUCCCCAGGCGGCAGCGUUCAGAUCAGCCCCUCAGCAGACGUGAGGCGCGAGCCAUCGGCGGAGGGCUCCAUGGAGGCGGCGUCCUGGCCUCCUGGGGGUCGGCGGAGUGGCCUCGGCGACGGCGUAUCUUGUGCCGCUGGCACUCACCUCUCCCUCGCCAUCUUCCUCCGCCACCACUGCCCCUCCUCAUCGGACGACGAGCUUGAUGGUGGCGGCGCAAGAGCAAGCCAGGGUCAGUCGUUCCUUACACCCCUUGCCUUUGCCCCCCACUCUCGCCAGAUGGCGAGCUAGAUGGUGCCGGCGCCCCUGCUCUCCUUUCCUGGCCGGCCAUGAGGUGGGGUGGCAGAUUGGAAGAAGGGGGCGACAACCUCGACGACGGCUGCCCACAUCAGCGGUGGAGCGGAUCUAGAGUGGCCACGGGACAGUAUAGCAAUAUUGGAACCAAGGACUAUACAUCUAAAUUAUCAGUGUGCUGAGGUUCGUGAUAGUGCUCUGCUGAAGAAUGUGGAGAUUAUUGCAAAAAGACUCACUAAUGCAUCCGUGAUUUAAGGUACUUCUGGUAGCAUUGGAGUCUAUAAAAUUUCCCUACACAUCUUUGAUUUAAAAUAUUUUGCUUUAUGCAUGUGUAUAGAAUUGGAUCCUUUCUCAACAAUAAUAUAAGCUUAUGAACAUGAAAUUCUGAAAAAUCAUCAAGAUAUAUCUUUCUUAAUCUAAAGAGUUAUGAUGAUCAGGUCAAUUUUUUUUUCAGAAUUAAGUUCGGUUGCAUGGCUAAAUUGGAACCUAUUGUACUUGCUAUGCUCCGUUGUAAUGCUUUGGAAUUUUUAAGAGCUCCAUACGGAUAUCUGCUGAUGUGGAUUGGUAUAAGUGUUGGCUAUGACAUUGUUUUCAGGCAAUUGGCAAUGUCAUGCUGCAUUGCGAACCUUCUUAUUACCCUUUGAUGGGUUGGAGGUAUAGAAUCGAGAUGAUUGCCAAAAAUAUUCAGGUAAUUACUGCCAAUAAAUAAGAAUAAAAGCAGAGCAGACAUAAGGUAAAAAGAAAGCAGAAAGACAUUCAUCUAGUCGUGUUGUAUUUACUUGCUAGCAGUGUGGUUUUUAGAGCAUGAUUAAAAAUUGCAAUAAUUAAACGAUGGUUCAUCUGUCUGCACAGUUAAUGUUUUUCUGCAUAAAAUUGCUCUUGCUGCAAUUACCAAUACUUUUUCUUUCUUCUAGUAAUAUAUAAAGCCACUUAAAAAAGAGAUUUUCAUGUUUGGGUUUGCAACUCCUAGAUUUUGUGGUGGUAUGUCAUGAAAAUAGCCGCUGAACAACUAAAAAAUAUGCCUGUUGCUAACUUGCUAGUUUUAUUCAAUAUUAAUCUUAUAAAUCUAAUGAAAUUGAAAUUGCAUUCAGGGUUGAGUUCAUUGAUAACCUGGAAUCGACAUUGAUUGGAGGUGGCUUGACAUCCUAGAGGAAGAGCCUUGUGAUCUAUAUUUUCUUGUGUGCUUCUAUUAUUUGUAUUGCCUGUGAUCAUAUUUGUGUAUUUUGUCCUGCGAGAAAAAUCUAUAAAAUCACGUUAGUGGGAGUGCUAGCUAAAUAUAGCGGAAAGAAAAGCGGGAUAGAAUCUGACUCGGGAUAGAAUCUAACUCCUGACUUGGGCUGGGCAAACAGAAGCAGAAAACGGUGUGGGCGAACCAACCUGACUCGUAUGCGAUAUUGUUUUCUUGCGUGAACCUGGUAAACCUGGACUCUGGUUUUUCUAUAUUUUGUGUGUGACCUGGACUUCUGUGUUUUUUGUGCGUGAA